rnacentral:misc_RNA from 1 species
GAGAGAGAGAGAGAGAGAUGCUAAAGUGGGAGAAGUCCUCUUAGCUGGAGAGAGAAGUUGAAGAGAUAAAGGAGAAACAAUGGAUAGAUACUCUUACACCUCUGUUAAUUCGCUCAACCACAUUGUCUUGACUCUGGUUUUGUCUCCUGAAACCUUGUUUUAUAUUGUCAAGCAAGGACAUAUGCAAGGCUCUUUCAAAAUUAACAUCAAUACAUUUGCCUUCUCAAAGCCAUUUCCUUUGAUACCUCCACUGGGCUUUGAAGGCUGCCGAUGGAAAUAUUGUUGUUGAUGUUUAGUGAAUGGAAAGGAAACAAAUGGCUUUUAGGUCUCUGUCACUUCCUAUUAUUCAAAGCAACACUGAUUAGAGACUUUAUUACAUUAAAUUGAGAAAUUACUCUCAGGCCAACAAAAAUUUAAAAUUAUAUUUCUGACCCAAAGUAUAAGAAUUAAACAUCUUCUCCCUAUCAACUUUAAGAUUUAUAGUGUUCUGUCUAGAUUUUAAAUAAUAAUAAUUUCAAUUUCUAUUUGAUAAAAAGAGUGAUGGAAUGCUUCUAGUGAGCAAAGUUUCAAUAUUGAAAAGCUAGCAAACUGAAUGAGCGUAAUGUAUUUACCACAAUCCAAACUAGCCUACCGACUUUUCCCGCCCUGUGUACCACAUGCUACCAUAUGUAGUGAAUUCCUAUCUCUAUUCAGGUUCCUGGUACAACAAAAAGUAUAAUUCUUCUUGAGAUGCGCCAAUCUGAUCCCAUCGGUGAGCACUGCAGAACCUUGUCACAUCAGGACAAACUUGAUCUAUCUUGAAUUUUUUUUGUCAAAGGGCUCUUUAAUAUCUCAUAUGCCUUUCUCUAAUGGGUUUUUUGUGUUAAAAUCAACUGGAAUGGUUUCAUCAGAUUAUCGGGUGCCUAGUAAAUGGUGCUAAAUUCUUUCCUUUUGUUCUGGACUUUACUUGGGUUUUCACCUUUUUUUUCCUAUCUGAUCCUGGUUAUGUUGUUUGAUUUGAUAUAUUUCUAUCUGGACAUAAAAUUCUCUUCUUAAGUUGCUAUUUUUCUAUUUGUUCAGGGAUAAAGUUGUUGACUUCCA